GUCUACGGCCCCACCACCCUGAACGCGCCUGAUCUCGUCUGAUCUCGGAAGCUAAGCAGGGUCGGGCCUGGUUAGUACUUGGAUGGGAGGAAAUGGUCUCUUACUGC
rnacentral:rRNA from 1 species